AUUUCCUGAUAAAGGAAGUGGGGGAGAAAAAGAAAAGACUGAGAAAAUGAUGAAGGGGAUGCACUUCCAGGGACUGCUAUACAUAGGGAGUUCUAUCCUGUAGGUGUGGCUGAUAUACUGAAGGUUAUUCGAAUUUAUGUUGGAUUAGCUACUGUUGGUGUCUUCACUAUAUGGUAUACACAUGGUUCCCUUUUGGGAAUUGACCUCGGUGGGGAUGGACGUACUCUUGUAACUUACUCUCAGCUGGCCAACUAGGGUCAAUGAUCCUCUUGGAAUAAUUUCAGUGCAGCUCCCUUAACCGCUGGUUCUAGAGUCAUCUAUUUUGACGACAACCCAUGUGACUACUUCCAUACCGGUAAAGUCAAAGCUAUGACAUUGUCCCCCUCCGUGUUGGUAGCCAUUGAAACGUUCAAUUCUCUCAAUGCUCUGUCUAAAGAUGGAAGCCUUUUGACAAUGCCCCGUGGGUGAACCCUUGGCUUCUUUUGGCAAUGUCCAUAUCAUUUGGGCUGCACUUUUUUAUCUUGUAUGUGUCAUUCUUAGCUCAAGUAUUUAGCAUUGUGCCCCUGAGCUUUAAUGAGUGGCUUUUGGUUUUGGCGGUUGCGUUGCCGGUUAUUUUAAUUGACGCGGUUCUGAAAUUCGUUGGGAGAUGUACAAGAGGGUCUGCAAGAAGAUCAAAGCAAAAAUGAGAGUAGACAACUUACAAUAGUCUUAGAAAUUGAUCAGUCCUUGAAUAGUUUGAAAGUUGUUAUCCUUAGACUGAAGAGGUGACCUCAACACCAAUUAAUUUUAGAAGUACAAUUUUAGGCCUCCAUGUAGUCAUCAGCCCAUUUUAUAAUGAGGGAUGAUUUGCAUAUGGUUAGUAUAUUUUUUUUGUUUAUUUAUCAUCUUUUUGUUUUUGUUCUUUGAACCUUUCAGGAAUUUCAAAAGGAAGGAAAAAACCUUUUAUUAGUUUUUCA